rnacentral:rRNA from 1 species
GAGUAACGCGUAUCCAACCUCCCUAUAGUAGAGAAUAGCCCGGCGAAAGUCGGAUUAAUAGCUCUAUGUUGUAUUUAGAAGACAUCUGAAGAAUACCAAAGGUUUACCGCUAUAGGAUGGGGAUGCGUCUGAUUAGGUUGUUGGCGGGGUAACGGCCACCAAGCCACCGAUCAGUAGGGGUUCUGAGAGGAAGGUCCCCCACAUUGGAACUGAGACACGGUCCAAACUCCUACGGGAGGCAGCAGUGAGGAAUAUUGGUCAAUGGACGAAAGUCUGAACCAGCCAAGUUAACGCGUGCAGGAUGACGGCCCUAUGGGUUGUAAACUGCUUUUAUACAGGGAUAAAGUGAGGGUACGUGUCCCUUUUUGUAGGUACUGUAUGAAUAAGGACCGGCUAAUUCCGUGCCAGCCGCGGC